rnacentral:rRNA from 1 species
AAUCAACGCUGGCGGCGUGCCUAACACAUGCAAGUCGCACGAGAAAGGGGAGCAAUCCCUGAGUAAAGUGGCGCACGGGUGAGUAACACGUGAAUUAUCUACCUCCGAGUGGGGAAUAACUGAGAGAAAUCUUAGCUAAUACCGCAUAACACUUACGAGUCAAAGCAGCAAUGCGCUUGGAGAGGAGUUCGCGGCAGAUUAGUUAGUUGGCGGGGUAAGUGGCCCACCCAAGACGAUGAUCUGUAUCCGGCCUGAGAGGGCGCACGGACACACUGGAACUAGAAACAACGGU